rnacentral:rRNA from 1 species
UGCGUAGGCGUCCAGGAAAGUUAUUUGUUAAAGCCUCCGGCUUAACCGGAGAGAUGCAAGUAAAACUAUCUGGAUAGAGUUUAAGAGAGGAAAAUGGAAUUCCUGGUGUAGCGGUGACAUGCGUAGAUAUCAGGAGGAACAUCAAUGGCGAAGGCAGUUUUCUGGCUUAAAACUGACGCUGAGGCACGAAAGCGUGGGGAGCAAACAGGAUUAGAUACCCUGGUAGUC